GCCCGAACUUCAAAUUUAUGGGGUCUACUGAUCAGGCUUAGUUCGUAGGAAUCAGGUCCCGGGCGAGUGCCAGGGGGGGGGGGUAAGUUUUAAACGAAGCGUUAAUAGACCUUAUGCAUAAUGACGUCACAAGGCUUGAUGCCCGCGAGGAAUGCUGGUCUUAGUAGUCAUCGCCCGGGAAAAUUUCGAUAGUGGCCAUUUUGAAUUGUUUAAUUUUCCCGGGCGAUGAC